rnacentral:rRNA from 1 species
CCUACGGGAGGCAGCAGUGGGGAAUAUUGGACAAUGGGCGAAAGCCUGAUCCAGCCAUGCCGCGUGUGUGAAGAAGGUCUUCGGAUUGUAAAGCACUUUAAGUUGGGAGGAAGGGCAGUAAGUUAAUACCUUGCUGUUUUGACGUUACCGACAGAAUAGGCACCGGCUAACUCUGUGCCAGCAGCCGCGGUAAU